GACGUAGGGCGCAAGCGUUGUCCGGAAUUAUUGGGCGUAAAGAGCUCGUAGGCGGCUUGUUGCGUCGACUGUGAAAAACCACGACUCAACCGUGGGACUGCAGUCGAUACGGGCAGGCUAGAGUUCGGUAGGGGAGACUGGAAUUCCUGGUGUAGCGGUGAAAUGCGCAGAUAUCAGGAGGAACACCGGUGGCGAAGGCGGGUCUCUGGGCCGAUACUGACGCUGAGGAGCGAAAGCGUGGGGAGCAAACAGG
rnacentral:rRNA from 1 species